rnacentral:lncRNA from 1 species
AAGGAAGCUGUCGCCCUCCAGCACCAUUAAGGUGAAUGUUGGAUGGGUGGUGGGUUGAGUGCUCCAUGGACUGGCCACGGGUGCCCAGGAUCUCCUGGACGACGCCUCUCUGCAGAAGGAAGUGACAAACAGAACGCCCAUGGAAGUGGCCACCAGGGCUGAAGAAACCCUCCAGGUUUUCUUCAAUCAUCAGCUCCUGGGAAGCAAAAGCAAGGUGGCAGAGGAAGCUCUGGAGACCAUUGGCCACCUCUUCUGUCUGCUGUCAGUUGAAAAUCUUGAGAGUCAUGUUUACUGGUUAACCAAAUGGUUCACGACUCUGACUUCCACAGCAGUGAGGCCACUCUACAUGUGCAAGUGUCUCUGCGGCGUCCUGAAAGCCCUGUACCGCAGCAAACACGGAGGUCGCAAGGUACAAUCCUGGGCAGAGGAGCUGGCAGGCAUCCUCCUGAAGCAGGUGAGUGCCGCGGCAGUAGAGCCAUCCUGGACUCCCCUUUCUCUCUGC